GACGAACGCUGGCGGCGUGCUUAACACAUGCAAGUCGAACGGAAAGGCCCGCUUGCGGGUACUCGAGUGGCGAACGGGUGAGUAACACGUGGGCAACCUGCCCUCAGCUCUGGGAUAACUCCGGGAAACCGGUGCUAAUACUGGAUAUCGACUUCUGCCUCGCAUGGGGUGUUGUUGAAAGUUUUUCGGCUGGGGAUGGGCCCGCGGCCUAUCAGCUUGUUGGUGGGGUGAUGGCCUACCAAGGCGACGACGGGUAGCCGGCCUGAGAGGGCGACCGGCCACACUGGGACUGAGACACGGCCCAGACUCCUACGGGAGGCAGCAGUGGGGAAUAUUGCACAAUGGGCGCAAGCCUGAUGCAGCGACGCCGCGUGGGGGAUGAAGGCCUUCGGGUUGUAAACUCCUUUCGCCAUUGACGAAGCCCUUUGGGGUGACGGUAGGUGGAGAAGAAGCACCGGCUAACUACGUGCCAGCCGCCGCAGUAACAC
rnacentral:rRNA from 1 species